CAGAGCUUACAAGCAGUGCGUGAGCCCUUCCCUGAGUUUUGAGUCCUCUGUUUUCCUGAAGUGAUGAUAAAUGGCUUCCAAGAGCUGUUCAGAGGCUGAUGUGUCAGCCAAACCAGCUGCCAGCAAUGCCAGCAGAGAGCUGCACUGGUGCUAGCAGCAGACCUGAUCAAAUAACAGCUGCUCCUGAUUAUAAGGAUGUUCCCUCCACAAUUUGUGAUAAAAGACACUUUUGGAGGGCAUUUGCAUACUGAUGUUUAUUUUUAAGGAAGCAUCAUACAGGAGCUCAAAGCUGUGGAGAAGUUGUGAAUGGAAGUGAUGCAUAUAAAGGGCAGAGCUAAACUUACAUGUGUGGAAGAGUGAGAAAGCCAAUAUCUUACAACCAGGACACUUUAACAUGAGGAGGAAGAAUCUGGAUUAAUAUGCCACAUGUUUUGGUUCUGAAAAUCCAGCUCUUAAUGUGUGUGAGAAGAGCAAUACCUAGGAUUAAUGUGGAAAAGCAGAGCUUCCUUAUACCUCUUGUUAAUAGGUGAAGGCAAAAAUACUCUGGAUAUUUUCACAAACAGAUGGUGAAAUAGUCUGGUGGGAGAGCCUUCUCUGCCAAUUUUAAUCCAAAGUAAAUGAUAAAAGCUUCCUGACAGGAGUGUGCAUCUGGGGUCAAAGGAUUCUGUUUUUCCAUGUCUGCUGGUUUAUUUAGCAAACUUUUGUCAUCACUUCUGAAUUUUCUGGACGCAUGCCACUCUGUUCAGAGCAUUACAUCUCCUGAUACAACUUCAUCUCUCUGUGAUGUAAACAGAUGAAAUAUGCAUGUACCAUUCUCUCCUCAAGUAGCUAAGAGCAAGAGGGGCAACUCUUCAGAGGGCUCAUACUAGAAACCACAAUAACCUUUGCUUCUCAGCUGCCCUGAACAUGAUUUUAUUCUAUGAAACUUCAAAGCAUCCUUUACCUGAGUGUCCCUCUGAAGGAAUGAUGUGGUUGCACAGUAAAAUGACUAUACAUCUUCCCAACAUCUGGCAAAUGGCUGUAUUUUGUUACAAAAAUGUUGGGAUGGAGUCUGGUUCUCUCGACACAUGGUUACUUCCAGAAAUUGCAGGUGUCUAGGUAUCUAUUGAGUGUAAUGUCAGAGUAACCCGUGUAACCCAUGCUAGAUGUACAGCAUGUAACCCAGAGGGACAUAUCACAUAUCUUCUGCUAGGUACCUGAGCAUAGUCUGUGCUGACCACAACUGGGCUUAUGUCAUGUUAAGGCUUAUAUUAAGAUAAAAAUAUGGUGAGGAGAGACAGGAGUGAGAUGAGGAGAUCACAAAUGGGAAAGUAGGCAGUACUUGUUAAAUGCAACCUGUCAAAGGCAACCUCUAGUUUGUGUCUUCCCAUUAGCUCAGAGCGCACAGGGAGCUGGGACGUGGCUUCUGUCUUAUUAGUCUGUGCUUUGAUGUGCAGAAAUUUUAUGUAGAAAUCCUUAGAGCUGAAGUAGCUAACAGGAAAAAUAAAGCUUGAAUGGUGAAAUACCAGUCAAUCCA